rnacentral:misc_RNA from 1 species
AAGUCGUAACAAGGUUUCCGUAGGUGAACCUGCGGAAGGAUCAUUAACUCAUAUAUGUUGCUGUCCCAGGACAGUGACACAUAUACAACAAACCAAAAUUUACCAAUCCGUGAACUAUAAUCAUGAGAACGUGAUGAUUCAUAUGUAUAGGGCGUCGGCGUCUUCGUGCAUAUAAUUGUCAUUUGAAUACCACUUCCAUUAUUAACCAAUAUUAACCCGUUACCGUAAUGUUGUUUUGCUUGAAAAGCAUGACAGCAUACUAAAACACAUUGAAGACCAUAAUAGCUUGUUGAUACUUAAUUGAUCGCACGCACACUUGGUCUUCACCAUUAUAUCUUAAUAGAGAAAUACAACUCUUAACAAUGGAUAUCUUGGCUCUC